UACAGAGGUCUCAAGCGUUGUUCGGAUUCAUUGGGCGUAAAGGGUGCGUAGGCGGCCCGGUAAGUCCGCUGUAAAAGUCAAAGGCUCAACCUUUGAAUGUCAGUGGAUACUGCCGGGCUAGAGUCCGGAAGAGGCGAGUGGAACUCCUGGUGUAGCGGUGGAAUGCGCAGAUAUCAGGAAGAACACCAACGGCGAAGGCAGCUCGCUGGGACGGUACUGACGCUGAGACGCGAAAGCGUGGGGAGCGAACAGG
rnacentral:rRNA from 1 species